UAUGACUGAAAAAGUGAUAGAUUUUUAAUCUGUUUAUGAGUAUUUUAGUUACUUUAA
rnacentral:tRNA from 1 species